rnacentral:tRNA from 1 species
GCCUCUGUAGCUCAGUAGGUAGAGCAGGGGACUGAAAAUCCCCGUGUCGGUGGUUCGAUUCCGCCCGGAGGCA